GUGGGUAGCGGUGAAAUUCCAAUCGAGCCCGGAGAUAGCUGGUUCUCCCCGAAAUAGCUUUAGGGCUAGCCUCAAGGUGAGAGAUACGGAGGUAGAGCACUGAAUGUCCUAGGGGGUAUUGCACCUACCGAAGACUAUCAAACUCCGAAUGCCGUCAUCUUAUACUUGGGAGUCAGACUGUGGGUGAUAAGAUUCAUAGUCGAAAGGGCAACAGCCCAGAUCGUCAGCUAAGGUCCCUAAAUGUAAGUUAAGUGGUAAAGGAUGUGGGAUUGCACAGACAACCAGGAUGUUGGCUUAGAAGCAGCCACUCAUUCAAAGAGUGCGUAAUAGCUCACUGGUCGAGUGAUCCUGCGCCGAAGAUUUCCGGGGCUAAAACUUACUACCGAAGCUACGGCAUCAGUAAUGAUGGGUAGGGGAGCUUCCCAUACAGGUUGAAGCAUGACCGUAAGGACAUGUGGACAGUAGGGGAGUGAGAAUGUUGGCAUGAGUAGCGAGAUGUGGGUGAGAAUCCCACAGGCCGUAAACCCAAGGUUUCCAGGGGAAGGUUCGUCCGCCC
rnacentral:rRNA from 1 species